UGGCAUUAUCAGCCUUGUUACAAGACUGUGCUAACAAGUUUGUUGCAGCCAUGAUAUAACAAGGAUGUUACAAGGUUGUCAAAACAAUCUUGUUAUAUCAAACAUGUAACGGACUUGUCAGAACAACCUUGCAACAAGUCUGGUAAUUUCGACAAGGUUGUUACAAGUUGUCAACAAGUUGUUCCAGACCUGUUGACAACUUGUGACAAGCAGUGCGAAUACAUCUUGUUGACGGUUUGUUGGCAGACUUGUUACAAGAUGUGAGAUUUUUACGUGUGUA